rfam:Felis catus isolate Cinnamon breed Abyssinian chromosome A1, whole genome shotgun sequence.
GCCUGGGUGGCUUGGUCGGUUAAGCGUCUGACUUCAGCUCAGGUCAUGAUCUCACGGUCCGUGAGUUCGAGCCCCGCGUCGGGCU